CAUAACGGGGACGGGCGGUACGGGAAACUGGGAGAAGAAGAGAAAGUUGUUGCUUGCUUCCAGCCAUGAACUUACUCUGCCUGCGAUGCAUUUUUUAUCCAGUGUUUAUUUUCUUCAGUUAAGUUGUGAACUUAAACCAAACCUCUGCAUUGGCAAAAUACUAGCACCUUAAUGCACCGUUUCUUCAUUGGUGGCUGGGCACCGCGGCUGGCAUCCUCUCGUGGCAUGGCACAGGUUCAUCAGUCAGGUGGUCAGCACCCAAACUAAAACCAUGAGUCAUGGUGGCCAGGAUGACGUCCAAGAAUUGCAUCCCAGCAGCACAGAUGGGGGAGCCAACAUGAAGAGGUGUCCAGAGAGGCUUCUUUCGCUUGGGCUUUGCAACAGCACCAGGACCUCACCAUCAGUGAUGCUGGUUUCCUCAUCCAUCGGGCCUACCCUUACAUUCCUCACCUGAUGCACUGAUCACCUGUACCAGUUGUUGGAGUUUUCAGCAGGGCUCUAAAUUAACUUUUUUCAUCACUAGCCAAAAUGGCUAGUAUGUUAAUCUCCAAACAUAC